rnacentral:pre_miRNA from 1 species
AGGAGGAACAGCCCCAGUGGCAGAGGUCAGCUCUGGAGCCUGGAUUCAGCCCCCGCAGGAACUCCAGAGCUCUCCGUCUGCAGGGCCUGGAGGCUCCGGGGCCGG